UACGGCCACAUCAUGUUAAAACACCGGUUCCCGUACGAUCACCGAAGUUAAGCAACAUAGAGCUUGGUUAUUAUCUAGAUGGGUGUCUUCUUGGGAAUACCAGGUGCUGUAA